GGGAACCUGCGGAAGGAUCAUUA
rnacentral:ncRNA from 6 species